rfam:Shewanella putrefaciens CN-32, complete genome.
AUUUUAGCUUACUCACCCAAGCCAAUUGGGUGGAGGCUGGCGGUUUUUUAACCGUCGGCCU